rnacentral:lncRNA from 1 species
UUGUUGAAUAACUUCAGUUGAAAAUGUCUUUAAAGUUAAUCUUAGUUGACGUUGUCAUUUCGCUAGCUAGUUGCACGAUAAAUUGAAA